rnacentral:lncRNA from 1 species
AUUACUGGGUUCCCAAUUGGUGGUGGCUACUUAUUAUUAGCAUGCUAUGGACCACCUGGGUUAUGCUGUGAGCUUCCUUGGUGCUCUCUGUGAUUGCCUGUGAUUUUGGGUAAAAUACCUGAGUACCAAGGCUUUCCUCUUCCAGCCACAGUGGCCUUCUUUUACAGAGAGCCCAGAACAGUCAGGAUAUUCAGGUUGCCUUGCUUCUCAGGUUUGGGCCAACACGUGGGCAUAAGUGCCUGUGUGAGUCUAAACUCACUGAACAAAGACAGGGUUGUUUUGUCCUUGCUGUGCCAGAUGGAAGGCUUUCAUUAGUCACUUUGGGAGCAUUCAUAUUAGCUGGGAGAUUUUCUUUCCAAGGGUUGGAGCUGACGGUGUUUGCCUUGGGAUGGUCUUAGUCCUCUCUGCUUUCAUUGCUACUGCCAAGUAUCACAACCCUUGCCUACGGCUUUGCUCUACCCAUAGUUCCUUUUCCUUAACAUGGGGAAGCAUGGAGGAUAUUUGAGAUGGCCCAAUCACAUGUUCCCAGGUCAGUGGCAUCUGGGUACAAGUAAUUCUCAGGUCUAGCUCUUCUUCUCUGACUGUGGUUUAUAAAGGGACAGAGACAAGAGCCCCCGGUUUUGGAGCCAGGAAGACCUGAAUUCCAUUUCAGACUCAGCCAUGUAAUCUGAGGUAGCAGUAUUGUUUUUUCCUGUAUGUUGAACUGAGACCAGUGAAUUGUCACAUAGGUACAUGUGUUCAACUUACCUAGGUCAUGAUUAAACUCCAAGGAGGGGCUGGGGAUGUAGCUCUGUUGUAGAGUGCCUACCUAGUAUGCAUAAACCCCUGGCUUCAGUGCCCAGCCCUACCCAAACUAGGGCUGAGAGUAGGAGGACAAGAAAUCAAGCCCACCCUAUACUAUAUCACAAGUUUGUGGUCAGGAGGCUUCAAAACCAAAAUCAAACGGUAACAGCAAAAGGAUCUUAGGCCCUCAAUGGCCCUUCCUGUCAGCAACUCCCCACGCACACCUCAAGUACCCACAGAGGUCUGGUUUUUGUUGCUAUCAACUGUUCUGAACUUUUAGGGUUGAGACAUUAUUAAAACCCUUCUGAGCUUCAGUUUCUUUUGUGGAAAGUGAAAAUAUAGGGCCGUGUUACUGCAUUGAUUUGGGAAAAUCUAACAGGACAGGGUACAUGAAGUCCACAAUAAGAGAAUUAUCCAGCAGGUAUCACUAGCUUAGGCAGAGCUGUGUUAUCUCUGAUGGCAGUGUUGGCUCUAGAGAGUCGGGUUCCUGCUGAUGUUAUGGCAUUUGUGUCCUGUGCCCUCUAUGUUCCACUACCAUCUUGAACAUGCUUCAGGUUGUUCACACAGUGGCUUGCAGGACUUCUGCUAGAAACCAGUACUUGAUGCUUAAGUUGAUAGAAGAGUGAGCAGUAAAGAAAGCAUUCUGCAGCCUCCCUCUCCAAACCUGUGAUUCAGACUCGGUCUGUUUUCUCUAUUAGCAAAAUCGAUAGCUGUAUCGCAAAGCGCAGGCUUGGGUCGGACCUGUUUCUCUAAACCGAGAGUUGGUGUUAGUGUGCCCUGGGUGCCAUGUUUGUUGAAGUGUAAGGAUGCUAAAUUUUUUGUUUUAAAACUAAACAAAAACCACCCCAUAUGAUGGCCCCAAAUUUCUACAAUGGUAAAUAUUUCCUUGAGUCAAAGAGAAGAAAAAACAGGAUACCCAAGUUGAGGGGUUUUUGUUUUUUGGUUUUUUUUUGGGGGGGGGGGGUGACUUUGUGAUGCAUGUUCUACAUUAGGCCUUAAUCUGUGUGGUAUGUAUGCCCUUUCCUGACUUUAGGCCUUCAUGAAGAAGGCAGGACUACAGGAGAGAGGGCAUCCAAGGAACUUAUAAAGACAAAUUCCCCGAGUCAGAGAUGGAGUCUGAAGCUGGGAUCUGUCCUUAGAACCUUCUCCCUACACUCACAGAACACUGACAAUAUGUCAAGGACGAUGUGAAGAGAGCAGUGACUGUGAGCAGCUUUGAGCCAAAGGCAUGCAUUCAGCAGAUUGUUACAAUGCAGACUGUGUACUGCAUGUGGAAGACCAUAGCUAGUAAGCCAGGUUGGGGCCAGGGGUUGACGUGGUCCUGGAAGCUGAAAAAACUACAAGAAUAAAUCUCAGACAUCUCAUGUCAUAUGUGACUCAUGUCAGAGUGUCCCUGAGACCCCUCAUCUAAGGAGACAUUUCCCAGGGUAACUUCUGCCCACCCCUAAAUGAGAUUGUGCUUUUGCUAAACCGCUGGAUGUGUCUGCAGCUGGCAUGCCCUUGCUGUGUUUCUGAUCGCUUUGCAGCGCCCCGAUCCAUGCUGCGAUGUUUUAAAGACAGGGGCCUUCUUACUCUGGAAAAGGGUUUCACUUUCUUCCCAGGUAAAUAAGAGAGGUUAGGCAGUAGAUCUGCAUGGAAAAGAAGUGCUUUAUUAGCAAGAGUUUGUGAGAAAGAACACGGCUCUAGUAUGGAGCUGGGAGAGAAACAUGUUUGCUGAGAAGGAGAUGCCCACUCGGCAUCCCCUGUGUGGCCCGCCAUCGAGUAGGGAGCCAGCAUGCCAAAUUUCUCCAGUUACCAUGGGACCCAGACUUUGACAGGAAAUCAUGGUAGGGUGGGAAGGAAUCCAAAAUACACAUGGCUGGCAUACAGGAUGCAGUUAGGAAAGAGAAGAGAACAGUCCAUCUAUUUUCCUGCGCUGAGUUCUCUAGCUUCAAAUGGGGCUGUUCUCUAAGCCUCCCUCUGAAGUAGGUCCAUUUUAUGGUCCUGAUUUUCAAGCAUGAACUUUUUCCAUAUUAAGCAAUACUUCUGUGAUUAAAGUGGCCCCUUUAUAUGUUUGUGGAGGGUAUUUCUUAGCCGUGUGUGUGUGUGUGUGUGUGUGUGUAUUUGUGUGUUUUAAGUCUACAAACU